GACGGAGGAUGCAAGCGUUAUCCGGAAUGAUUGGGCGUAAAGCGUCUGCAGGUGGCAGUUCAAGUCUGCUGUCAAAGACCGGGGCUUAACUUCGGAAAGGCAGUGGAAACUGAACAGCUAGAGUAUGGUAGGGGCAGAGGGAAUUCCUGGUGUAGCGGUGAAAUGCGUAGAUAUCGAGAGGAACACCUGCGGCGAAGGCGGGUUGCUGGGCCGACACUGACGCUGAUGCGCGAAAGCCAGGGGAGCGAACGGG
rnacentral:rRNA from 1 species